AAUGAACGCUGGCGGCAUGCCUUACACAUGCAAGUCGAACGGCAGCAUGACCUAGCUUGCUAGGUUGAUGGCGAGUGGCGAACGGGUGAGUAAUGCAUCGGAACGUGCCUUUUAGUGGGGGAUAACGUAGCGAAAGUUACGCUAAUACCGCAUAUUCUCUGAGGAGGAAAGCAGGGGACCUUCGGGCCUUGCGCUAGAAGAGCGGCCGAUGUCGGAUUAGCUAGUUGGUGAGGUAAAGGCUCGCCAAGGCAACGAUCCGUAGCGGGUCUGAGAGGAUGAUCCGCCACACUGGGACUGAGACACGGCCCAGACUCCUACGGGAGGCAGCAGUGGGGAAUUUUGGACAAAGGGCGCAAGCCUGAUCCAGCCAUGCCGCGUGAGUGAAGAAGGCCUUCGGGUUGUAAAGCUCUUUCGGCUGGGAAGAAAUCGCACCCUCUAAUACAGGGUGUGGAUGACGGUACCAGCAUAAGAAGCACCGGCUAACUACGUG
rnacentral:rRNA from 1 species